rfam:Triticum urartu cultivar G1812 contig630049, whole genome shotgun sequence.
CUUUUACUCCCUCCGUCCCAGAAUUUUUGUCUUAAAUUUGUCUAAAUACGGAUGUAUCAAGUCACGUUUUAGUAUUAGAUACAUCUGUAUCUAGACAAAUCUAAGACAAAAAAUUUGGGACGGAGGGAGUAUUUU